rnacentral:tRNA from 1 species
GGGAAUAGCUCAGUGGUAGAGCUCCACCUUGCCAAGGUGGAUGUCGCGGGUUCAAGUCCCGUUUCCC